GACGAACGCUGGCGGCGUGCCUAAUACAUGCAAGUAGAACGCUGAAGGAGGAGCUUGCUUCUCUGGAUGAGUUGCGAACGGGUGAGUAACGCGUAGGUAACCUGCCUGGUAGCGGGGGAUAACUAUUGGAAACGAUAGCUAAUACCGCAUAAUAGCAGUUAUUGCAUGAUAACUGUUUGAAAGGUGCAAUUGCACCACUACCAGAUGGAGCUGCGUUGUAUUAGCUAGUUGGUGGGGUAACGGCGCACCAAGGCGACGAUACAUAGCCGACCUGGGAGGGGGAUCGGCCACACUGGGACUGGGACCCGGCCCAGACUCCUACGGGAGGCAGCAGUAGGGAAUCUUCGGCAAUUGACGGAAGUCUUACCGAGCAACGCCGCGGUAGUGAAGAAGGGUUUCGGAUCGGAAAGCUCUGUUGUAAGAGAAGAACGAGUGUGAGAGUGGAAAGUUCACACUGUGACGGUACCUUACCAGAAAGCGACGGCUAACUACGUG
rnacentral:rRNA from 1 species